rnacentral:tRNA from 1 species
GGCCCGGUACCCCAACCGGUAGAGGGAGCACGUUUAGACCGUGUAAAUGUGUGGGUUCGACUCCCACCCGGGUCACCA